UAUUGUAAGGGAUAAUCAUAAUAAUCGAGUGAUGUAAUUCUCUCGACCGUUUGUAUGGGGAUUUUCCAAUUUGACCGAAGUAUCGAUACCGAAUGGGCAGGUUAUUGGUCGAAUUGUAGAAGAAUCGGCUUUAGUGUUCCCGAGAUUCAAAGUCAUAAACCAAUGCAACGAAACGGUUCUGCAAAUUGAAGGACCCGCAAUUACAACUGCUUUCUUCAGAGAUGUUGAAUUCAAGGUCAUGAGGCCGGACGGUGUUCAAGUUGGAAAAAUAUGCAAGUCAGGGCUUGCACGCGAAUUUUUUACCGACACAGAUUUAGACGUUCGAAUCAAAGCAGUCUUACUUGGAGCAUGCCUUUUGAUUAAUUCGAUUUACUACGAGCGUCAUUGAUAUAGGCAAAAUAAACGAAUAAUCGAUUCUCACCCAGGUUUUAAUGGCGAUGAAUUUAUACAAUUCGAUGAAACCUCUUCUGUUUUCGGAGAUUUUCAAAGCACUUGAAUUUUUUUGAUUUUGAAUUGAAAUAAAUAUCACUU